AUUGAACGCUGGCGGCAUGCCUUACACAUGCAAGUCGAACGGUAACAGGUCUUCGGAUGCUGACGAGUGGCGAACGGGUGAGUAAUACAUCGGAACGUGCCUAGUAGUGGGGGAUAACUACUCGAAAGAGUGGCCAAUACCGCAUGAGAUCUACGGAUGAAAGCAGGGGAUCGCAAGACCUUGUGCUACUAGAGCGGCCGAUGGCAGAUUAGGUAGUUGGUGGGAUAAAAGCUUACCAAGCCGACGAUCUGUAGCUGGUCUGAGAGGACGAUCAGCCACAUUGGGACUGAGACACGGCCCAGACUCCUACGGGAGGCAGCAGUGGGGAAUUUUGGACAAUGGGCGAAAGCCUGAUCCAGCAAUGCCGCGUGCAGGAUGAAGGCCUUCGGGUUGUAAACUGCUUUUGUACGGAACGAAAAGCCCCGGGUUAAUACCCUGGGGUCAUGACGGUACCGUAAGAAUAAGCACCGGCUAACUACGUGCCAGCCGCCGCAGUAA
rnacentral:rRNA from 1 species